rnacentral:lncRNA from 1 species
UCCACAGGGUUAUUUUCUGCAUUGUUCACAGAUGUAACAUGAGCUCCCAUGAGAUAAUCUGUUCAGCUGCAAAACUUCUGAUCAGCACAAGGCAUCUGUUUUUACCAAGCUGAAGUGAUGGAAUUCCAGUUCAAAUCACCGAAGUGCCGCUUCAGUUGUAGCCUGUGCAGUCUUCUCGUAGGGAAGCUUACAACUGCCACUUUGCUUUUUGAAAUGCCAAAAAUGGCCAUGAAAACUUCAUAACUACCUUGGCAAACACCUUGACAGCCCACGGACUUCAAUGUGUCAUUAAAGAAUAAAAAUUACAUUUCUAAU